AAAUAUGUUCAGAUAUGAACGUGCCCGAUUUCAUCUGAUUUUAGAAGGUAAGGAAGAUUGAUUCUGGUUAGUACUUGGAUGGGAGACCACCUAGGAAUACCAGGUGCUGUUGGCA
rnacentral:rRNA from 1 species